rnacentral:rRNA from 1 species
AACGAACGCUGGCGGCAUGCCUAACACAUGCAAGUCGAACGAGACCUUCGGGUCUAGUGGCGCACGGGUGCGUAACGCGUGGGAAUCUGCCCUUCGGUUGGGAAUAACUGAGAGAAAUUUCAGCUAAUACCUUAUAAUGUCUUCGGACCAAAGAUUUAUCGCCGAGGGAUGAGCCCGCGUAGGAUUAGGUAGUUGGUGGGGUAAUGGCCUACCAAGCCGACGAUCCUUAGCUGGUCUGAGAGGAUGAUCAGCCACACUGGGACGGAGACACGGCCCAGACUCCUACGGGAGGCAGCAGUGGGGAAUAUUGGAACGUGGGCGAAAGCCUGAUCCAGCAAUGCCGCGUGAGUGAUGAAGGCCUUAGAGUUGUAAAGCUCUUUUACCCGGGAUGAUAAUGACAGUACCGGGAGAAUAAGCUCCGGCUAACUCCGUG